AAGACUAAAAACUAUGAUUUUUGAAAAAACCAGCUUUUACAACCCGAAGGUGUCCUUGUGUGUAUUAAGUAUUCUGGAGCAGAGCAAAACAUUUCCUCAGCCUGAUCAGAUCAUUUUACAUUAUCUGGAUCUUUUCCAGGCGUAAAUUUAGCAUCUCCUUCUAAUUUAGUUUUUACUGUUAAAAGUACCCAUUUUAUUUCUUCAUGAGAUUUCUCAUAUCCUACUUAAACUGUUAGACAGAGCUUCAUUAUUACCAGCAACGUGUCCUCUCUGUCUAUUGCUUCGGAAUGUGAGAGAAUCUCCAACCACACACACACACACUCACACACUCUCUGCUUUGAGUUUUUUUUGUUAUCUUC